CCUACGGGGGGCAGCAGUAGGGAAUAUUGCUCAAUGGGGGAAAGCCUGAAGCAGCAACGCCGCGUGGAGGAUGAAGGUCUUCGGAUUGUUAACCCCUUUUGUUAGAGAAGAAAAUGACGGUACCUAACGAAUAAGCACCGGCUAACUCCGUGCCAGCAGCCGCGGUAAUACGGAGGGUGCAAGCGUUACUCGGAAUCACUGGGCGUAAAGAGCGCGUAGGCGGGAUAGCAAGUCAGAUGUGAAAUCCUAUGGCUUAACCAUAGAACUGCAUUUGACACUGCUAUUCUAGAGUUUGGGAGAGGUAGGUGGAAUUCUUGGUGUAGCGGUGAAAUCCGUAGAGAUCAAGAAGAAUACUGAUUGCGAAGGCGACCUGCUAGAACAUAACUGACGCUGAUGCGCGAAAGCGUGGGGAGCAAACAGGAUUAGAUACCCGUGUAGUC
rnacentral:rRNA from 1 species